ACUGGAUCAUAGGGUAGCUCUAUUUUUAAUUUUUUGAGGAACCUCCAUUCUGUUUUCCAUGGUGGCUGCAUCAAUUUACAUUUCCCCCCAUAGUGCACGAAGGUUCCUUUUCCUCCCGCGUCCUCGCCAACACUUGUUGUUUUUGAUCUUCGCCAUUCCUGCAGGUGUGACGUGAUAUCUCGUUGUGGUGUGGAUUUGCAUCAAAACCUGGCAUGGACCAUUUAUUUGAACACAGCUGACAGCUAUCUUUUGUUUCGUGGUAGCUAGAGAUGCCCUUGGCCCACUCCUUCUCCAGGUUUUGCCCGAGGCCCGGAGGACCCCAGUUUGCACAGUUGGAUGGCACUUUAAACCAGCAUGCAACCUCCCUCUUGAAGCCCGAAAAUCCAGGACUUUUAAGUGGUGCAUAAUUUAGGUUAAAACUUCUGAGCCGCUCUUGACUGCGAAGGGGCCUCUCCUCACCGAACAGGUGUCUAUGACCAUGUGCUUCUGCUCUGCAUCCCUGAUUAACACCAAACUUCGCCAGGAAACUCUGGAAAAGAUUUCCUCUGUAUUUAUUUAUGAGAUUUAUGCUGAGCAUUUACAAUCACCGUAGCUCACGUCUCUGGGGAAGAAUGGGCAUAUCGACAAAACAAGGCACCGGAGAACAGAAAUGCAGCCCAGUUAAAAUGAGGCUGCCAAUCUCCACAGAGGCCACGGGACAAUUUGACCAGAGUUCUUGCUGUUUAUCCCAGGUGGUUCUACUUUGAAAACACCAAUGCCAGUUUCUUGUAGACUUCUUAAAAAGGCACGUCAUAGUGACAUUGCCAAGAAGUGCACAGAUCAGCGAAUUUUUACACGUGUUCCUGUGUCACUUCACCACCCGGAUCAGAAUGGAGACUCCCAUCAACCACUGGGGACUACCUGACUGUUCCCGGUCAACGCCACCUCUACCCCUCUGCAGUUAACUCUGGUCUGACUCCACCACCGUAGGAACCAAUUGCUGAUGUGCGUGACCUGAUGAACUUCACAGAUCUCAUGUGGAGCAGGAGAAACCACACACAAUGUGGACACUGUGAUUCCAGCACUGUGAGGCUCAGGCUUUCUGAAGGAGUUGUUUGGCUUCAUUCUAGAGUCUGGAGUGGAGAGAGGCAAAGGGCUUGGCAGUAAGCAGGAGGAAAGACCUUCCUUACCAUGAAGGAGGGAGUGGGGUGAGCGGUGGUGUGUGUGGGGGUUGCAAGCCGCUCCUUGCAGCAGAUCCCCCAGUGGGAAUCCUCACCCUGCCCCCGUCCAGUUCUGAAAUCCGGAGGGUGGGGCCGAACAGCCGGGCACCUUGAGUCCCUCGUCUGCACGUGGGGAGGCUGAUCAUGGUGCCGCUCUUGGUUUCAUGUGAAGCAUAAAUCAGGUAAGAGACAUCCAAUGCGUGGACGGUGUCCAGCAUGUGGCAAGUGCCAUCUGAGCAUUGGCUCUUGUUGUGAUGAGGGACAUUUGCAGGUACUGUCUUCAGCAUUGAGAGUUUACCUGGCACGCACGCUGCAUUGCGUGAAAGAGGAACACAACCCAGGAGACACACAUGUGGGGAAUUUUGCCAUCAAGGUUUCAUGAAAUCAUAUAUCGACUUAGAGAAACACAUUAGAAAAGUAUCUUUGACACCGAAAGGCACAUCCGUGGUUAGGGGACAGUCCAGCAAUUACAGCCUAUAUUCUCAAUCUCUAUAAAACAUUUUUAUAAAUUUCCCUUUAUCUAGUGGUGGCUACUUUCAAAAUUGCUGGUGCUGCUGCCUGGAGUAUGAAAUUAAAUACCUUUUUGCAGAAAAAGCCUCCAGCUGAUUUUUCUCUUAAAUAAUAUGGGGUGAUUUUUAAAAGACCUCAGACACACAAAAUGCUA